GUGGGGAAUUUUGGACAAUGGGCGCAAGCCUGAUCCAGCCAUGCCGCGUGCAGGAUGAAGGCCUUCGGGUUGUAAACUGCUUUUGUACGGAACGAAAAGACUUCUUCUAAUACAGGAGGUCCAUGACGGUACCGUAAGAAUAAGCACCGGCUAACUACGUGCCAGCAGCCGCGGUAAUACGUAGGGUGCAAGCGUUAAUCGGAAUUACUGGGCGUAAAGCGUGCGCAGGCGGUUAUAUAAGACAGAUGUGAAAUCCCCGGGCUCAACCUGGGAACUGCAUUUGUGACUGUAUAGCUAGAGUACGGUAGAGGGGGAUGGAAUUCCGCGUGUAGCAGUGAAAUGCGUAGAUAUGCGGAGGAACACCGAUGGCGAAGGCAAUCCCCUGGACCUGUACUGACGCUCAUGCACGAAAGCGUGGGGAGCAAACAGGAUUAGAAACCCUUGUAGUCC
rnacentral:rRNA from 1 species